UUUGUUGUGUGCAUAAGUGAAGCCAGUAUAACUAAGGAGAGUACAGCAGAAAAGCGAAGUUUAACAUUUAAAUAAUUUAUGAAUUAUUGCAAAUUUCUAUUUGUAAUAUUAUCAUCUUAUGACAGUUUCAUCGAAGUCCAUUGAGCAGCAAUGAAUAUAUAUUCAUUAUUCAGAACUACCUGUCAAACGAUAAAAUGUAUGGCUCCAAAAUUAUCAUCAAUGGAACCAUUCACAAAAAUUAUACAUCGUAAUAUGCACCAUAUAUGUGAUAAACAAUAUUCAAAUAAUUUGUCAAAUAUGUAUAUGAAUAAAAUUAGUUCAAUAUUAUUGCAACCAUCACUACCAAUGUAUAAUAUCAUAUGUGGUUUGAAAAUGAAGACUGUAUUAAGACGAAGGUGUAGACAUUGCUUAUUAAUGUGGAGAAAUGAUAGGGCAUACAUAAAAUGUAAGGUAAAACCAAGGCACAAUCAAGUGGAAAGGAAGAAAAAGGAAUAUAAAACAUGGAAAUUGACAUAUGCUUGCCAAGGUAAAGUAAGGGAAUGGUAGAGUGUUAUAUACAAAAGGUAACAUUUGAAUUGUACUUUAAAAUAAAAUCAUUUUACGAUAAAAA